ACUGCUCAGUAACACGUGGACAACCUGCCCUUAGGUUGGGUAUGAACCCGGGAAACUGGGUAUAAUACCCGAUAGGUCUCGAUUGCUGGAAUGCAUCGAGAUUUAAAGCUCCGGCGCCUAAGGAUGGGUCUGCGGCCUAUCAGGUAGUAGUGGGUGUAGCGUACCUACUAGCCUACGACGGGUACGGGUUGUGAGAGCAAGAGCCCGGAGAUGGAUUCUGAGACACGAAUCCAGGCCCUACGGGGUGCAGCAGGCGCGAAAACUUUACAAUGCUGGCAACAGCGAUAAGGGAACCUCGAGUGCCAGGUUACAAAUCUGGCUGUCGAGAUGCCUAAAAAGCAUUUCAUAGCAAGGGCCGGGCAAGACCGGUGCCAGCCGCCGCGGUAACACCGGCGGCUCGAGUGGUAACCGUUAUUAUUGGGUCUAAAGGGUCUGUGGCCGGCCGGAUAAGUCUCUUGAGAAAUCUGGCAGCUUAACUGUCAGGCUUUCAGGAGAUACUGUCUGGCUCGAGGCCGGGAGAGGUGAGAGGUACUUCAGGGGUAGGGGUGAAAUCUUGUAAUCCUUGAAGGACCACCAGUGGCGAAGGCGUCUCACCAGAACGGACCUGACGGCAAGGGACGAAAGCUAGGGGCACGAACCGGAUUAGAUACCCGGGUAGUCCUAGCCGUAAACGAUACUCGCUAGGUGUCGGCCACGGUGCGACCGUUGUCGGUGCCGUAGGGAAGCCGUGAAGCGAGCCACCUGGGAAGUACGGCCGCAAGGCUGAAACUUAAAGGAAUUGGCGGGGGAGCAC
rnacentral:rRNA from 1 species